rnacentral:rRNA from 1 species
UACGAAGGGGGCUAGCGUUGCUCGGAAUUACUGGGCGUAAAGGGCGCGUAGGCGGGUGUUUAAGUCAGAGGUGAAAGCCCAGAGCUCAACUCUGGAAUGGCCUUUGAGACUAGAGGACUUGGGUACGGGAGAGGUGAGUGGAAUUCCGAGUGUAGAGGUGAAAUUCGUAGAUAUUCGGAAGAACACCAGUGGCGAAGGCGGCUCACUGGCCCGUUACCGACGCUCAGGCGCGACAGCGUGGGGAGCAAACAGG